UAUAUGGGAAAGAAUUCUUAGUGUACAAUGUGCACUCACUGCUUCACCUCACUGCUGAUGCCACCACAUAUGGAUCAUUAGACAAAUGCAGUGCCUUUGCGUUUGAGAGCUACAUGCACCAGCUGAAGAAGAUGGUUAGAUCAGGAAACCAUGUUCUAGUCCAAGCAGCAAAACGGCUCCAAGAACAUUCACAGAUUCCUAUACAAACAAGUGAAGAGAAACCAAUACAAUUGAAACAUCCUAAUAAUGUUUACAUUGUUAGCCCAACAUCCUGCUGUGAAGUUCUGGAGAGGACCAACUCCGGAAAGCUCUUAUGUAGAGUCUUCUCGCACUUAACGUCGUACCUUUACGAGCCAUGUGACUCGAUGAUCUAUGGAGCCUAUGUAUGUGGUCCAUCAAAGAUGGAGAUCCUGGACAAGACAAACUUGCAAGGAAGGGCAAUGAUCCUUGAGGACGGGCAUGGCCGCAAAGUUGUCUUUUCUCUCCUUCAUGACCUUGAUUAAUGAAAUAUGGAAAUAUGUUGGAUUUUACAUAGUUAUUUUUGAACAAGAAAAUGCAAUUGCUGUGGCGCCUGCAUUAUGGGUAGAGGAGGUGAAUGGGGUUCUGAUUUGCUACUGGCCCCGUAGAAACGCUGCUGCCAUGGCAAAGGCCUCCCAAAGGCCAGAUAAGGAGCUCUGGAAGCGGCACAAAAUAAG